rnacentral:lncRNA from 1 species
GGCAGGAAUAUGAUAAAUCACAGAAUAAAAAGGUGCUUUAUUCGAGAACAUUAACUUUACUCAAACACUUGGGAAAAUAAUUAUUUUAUUAUAAAGAGGAACCACAUUAUUAAGGAUUAGAAUGCAAAAUGAACAACAUUAGCAUUGAAUGAAUUUGCAGUGGAAGGAUUUCAGGAUACUGAUAUGAGCCCCCAGCUCCUCAAGUUUUC